CCCUUAGACGUUCUGGGCCGCACGCGCGCUACACUGACCAGUGCAACAAGCAUCCGUCCUUGGCCGACAGGCCCGGGCAAUCUUUGAACGCUGGUCGUGAUGGGGAUAGACUUUUGCAAUUUUUGGUCUUCAACGAGGAAUUCCUAGUAAACGCAAGUCAUCAACUUGCAUUGAUUACGUCCCUGCCCUUUGUACACACCGCCCGUCGCACCUACCGAUUGAAUGGUCCGGUGAAGCCUCCGGAUUGGCGCGCCCCUCGGUGCCGCCGAGAAGUUGGCUAAACCUUACCAUUUAGAGGAAGGUGAAGUCGUAACA
rnacentral:rRNA from 1 species